rnacentral:misc_RNA from 1 species
CAUCUCUGAAGGGUCGGGACCAACAAACAAUGGCCUUCAACCUUAUAACUUGUAAUGCCUGCAUGUGAGCUCCAAGUGGUAGCGUACCUAAGUGUGCCCUAGAUUAUAGACAGGCCCAAAUUCAGGUCAACAUUACCUUCACCUUUAUAACGGUCAAAAUAAUUAAAUAGCAUUGAUUUUUCUUCAUAUAUUUAAGGUGAAUU